CAGCUUCCAAGGAAAGCUCUGGGACUGCAGCCAUCUUACCACAACUCAUUAGGAUUUCCAAACUGUGAAGCACCCUACAUUUGGAAAGAUGAAGGCAGAGUCCAAGAAAGGUGUGUGAAGAAUCUUUUAGUUGUAUUGCUACAGUAAAUCCCAACAUUUCCCAACA